AGUUACUACUUGUUAGCUUGCUGAGUUGAUUUUCUUGUGAUAUAUUAAUAUUUCAAUCAAUAAUAAACUUGUUAAUUAUUAAUUGACAUAUUAAUUACAAAAUUUGGAGCUAAACCUACCAUCAUUUUGGCAGCUAAUUAUUGAAGCACCGGAUGAGCCAGAUUGCUGGAGGUGGAGAGAUACAUGACAACAUCUCUCAGUGCAAUGCAUGGAUGCUGAUAUGAACUGGACAUCGUGAUGGGACUUGAGUCAUGGACCAGAGCCUUCAAGUGUGACGCUCGACAGCUGGUGGAGGUGAAGGUAGAUACUACAUGGAUGAUGUGAGACCAAGCUGAUGUGAACUGGGUUGACAUCCUGUCACUCCGCUCUUCUAUCAUCACCCGAAGCCUCCAAGUAGGACAUGAUAGGUAGAACGAGUAGUUGAUAAGGGGUUCCGUCCUUAACCCCCCUCCCCCCACCUACUUCUCACCACUGUGGGACGAAGCUACAGACUAGUUCCAAUCAGGAACCAGCUCAAACUUCAGGAGAAGGAGACCUACUUGGACAAAGUUCUUCAGCAACAGCUGCUGCAAUUUCCAAUGAAAAUGGAGGAACCGCUCCUGUUGAAGUCCCUGGCAGGAGCACCUCAGUAGUUGAACUGAAAAAGCAUUCUCGACAGGAAACAAUGUCUGCUUACAUACCAAAGAAAGUCACUCCACAGGUGAGCAGAGUGAGAAGGAGAGAGGAGAGGAGUGGAGAAGUGCACGGCGAGCGAAGUGAGUUCUAAUGAGAAGUUGCAUGGAGGAGGAUUGCCAUUUAGUUGCUGUUGUUAGAGUGAGAAAGUAUGAUGGAGCGGAUGCUACAUACGGUGAGUGCCGACAUUAUUAGCAAUUCUACUACAGUGGGUCCAAGUUAUAAUGGCAUAAUUGUCUAUUAUUCAACAAAGCGGAUAGCGCUAUCUCUUUCUCGCUUUGCGUUGUUGCCAGAUCGUUUUUAUCAAUGCAGAAUUUAUAA